ACAUUUUUUCUGGAUGAACUGCUGGUUGGUUUUUUUCUCCAUAAAUACGAUAAAUUAUCAUAUCAUAUGAAAUGUCAAGAUAUACUGAAAAUAUGCCCUGUAUGAUGGUGGUCUGGCAUUUUAGAAUUGUUUUGGGCAAUUCAUGUUUGUAUGCAUUUUUUCUUUUGGCCCUUGAAGGCAUCUUUAAUAGUUUGCAAUUGCGAUAGAAAUUGCUGUGCUCGUAUCUUUAGUUUUAAUUACAAUUGGUCGAUCUACAACGAGUGCGUCUGAUUCCAACUCAUCAAGGUGAGCUCCCUCUUUUAUUCUUCUCAGGUAAUGAGGCGUCAGUGUAGGCCCAAUCUUUUUGUUUGUUGCUUUGAAGAGUGUUGUCAUGUUGUGGAAAGGCAACAUGUGCUUGAUAUGUGGAGUUGGUGUUGAGCCUGGCGGUAGUAGACAGGGAAGGCACCCAUCUCACUUGAUCUUGAGAGUUGAUUCAUAUCUUCUUUUCUUGACCUGAUUGAGUUCCUGUAUAUGCAAGGAUAAAGAAGAAGGGGCAUUGUCGUGGUUGUUGCUUAAGGUGUUGGUCAGGAGCUGAUUGCCGGGACUGAUGACAAGAACGGAGAGCAGGAUGAGUAUGUCAACAUGAUGUUCCUUGAUGUUGGCCUUCUUUUAUAAAGUUCACAUGCAAACUCUCCUCCAUGGUUAGAAAAAACUAAUUUAAACAUUUUGUUUCUUUGGUGGUUACUCAUUUCUCUUACCAUUGUUGUAUCAAAACAAUUGUAUUUUCGUUGAUGGCCACUUAGGCUCAUUUUUGAGGAGAAUGAGAUGUGGAAUAAACUACUCUGAAAUGGUUGGUUCCCUUCAGACAGUUUAUUAGCUAACUAAUUUUGGCUGCUGGUGCACAUGAUACAAUUGUGCUAUGUUGUUUCCAUCUUGCAUUUUAUGUGAGCUUAAACAGACAAUCAAUUAAACUUUUAC
rnacentral:lncRNA from 1 species